rnacentral:rRNA from 1 species
CCUACGGGUGGCAGCAGUGGGGGAUAUUGCACAAUGGGGGGAACCCUGAUGCAGCGACGCCGCGUGGGUGAAGAAGCGCCUCGGCGCGUAAAGCCCUGUUAGCAGGGAAGAAAAUGACGGUACCUGAAGAAGAAGCCCCGGCUAACUACGUGCCAGCAGCCGCGGUAAUACGUAGGGGGCAAGCGUUAUCCGGAUUUACUGGGUGUAAAGGGGGCGCAGACGGCGAUGCAAGCCAGGAGUGAAAGCCCGGGGGCCAACCCCGGGACUGCUCUUGAAACUGCGUGGCUGGAGUGCAGGAGGGGCAGGCGGAAUGCGUGGUGUAGCGGUGAAAUGCGUAGAUAUCAGGAAGAACACCGGUGGCGAAGGCAGCCUGCUGGACUGCAACUGACGUUGAGGCCCGAAAGCGUGGGGAGCGAACAGGAUUAGAUACCCUAGUAGUC